rnacentral:rRNA from 1 species
GAUGAACGCUGGCGGCGUGCCUAAUACAUGCAAGUCGAGCGAACGGACGAGAAGCUCGCUUCUCUGAUGUUAGCGGCGGACGGGUGAGUAACACGUGGAUAACCUACAUAUAAGACUGGGAUAACUUCGGGAAACCGAAGCUAACACCGGAUGAUAUUUUGAACCGCAUGGUUCAAAAGUGAAAGACGGUCUUGCUGUCACUUAUAGAUGGAACCGCGCUGCAUUAGCUAGUUGGUAAGGUAACGGCUUACCAAGGCAACGAUGCAUAGCCGACCUGAGAGGAUGAUCAGUCACACUGGAACUGAGACACGGUCCAGACUCCUACGGGAGGCAGCAGUGGGGAAUCUUCCGCAAUGGGCGAAAGCCUGACGGAGCAACGCCGCGUGAGUGAUGAAGGUCUUCGGAUCGUAAAGCACUGUUAUUAGGGAAGAACAUAUGUGUAAGUAACUGUGCACAUCUUGACGGUACCUAAUCAGAAAGCCACGGCUAACUACGUG